UACGAAGGGGGCGAGCGUUGUUCGGAAUUACUGGGCGUAAAGGGCGCGCAGGCGGCUCUGAAAGUCAGAUGUGAAAGCCCCGGGCUCAACCUGGGAAUUGCAUUUGAUACUGGGCAUCUUGAGUAUGGGAGAGGUGAGUGGAACUCCGAGUGUAGAGGUGAAAUUCGUAGAUAUUCGGAAGAACACCAGUGGCGAAGGCGACUCACUGGCCCAUUACUGACGCUGAGGCGCGAAAGCGUGGGGAGCAAACAGG
rnacentral:rRNA from 1 species